CCAUAGGAUAGGAUCGUGGUCGAUUAUGGUAGUUGGUGAGGUAAUGGCUCACCAAGCCGAUAAUCGAUAGGGGCCGUGAGAGCGGGAGCCCCGAGAUGGGUACUGAGACACCGACCCAGACCUUACGAGGUGCAGCAGGCGCGAGACCUCCGCAAUACACGAAAGUGUGACGGGGUUACCCAAAGUGUUCAUUUUUGAACUGUGGUAGGUGAGUAAUGUCCCCUACUAGAAAGGAGAGGGCAAGGCUGGUGCCAGCCGCCGCGGUAAAACCAGCUCUUCAAGUGGUCGGGAUGAUUAUUGGGCUUAAAGUGUCCGUAGCCGGUUUAGUAAGUUCCUGGUAAAAUCAGGUAGCUUAACUAUCUGUAUGCUAGGAAUACUACUAUACUAGAGGGCGGGAGAGGUCUGAGGUACUACAGGGGUAGGGGUGAAAUCUUAUAAUCCUUGUAGGACCACCAGUGGCGAAGGCGUCAGACUGGAACGUGCCUGACGGUGAGGGACGAAAGCCAGGGGAGCGAACCGGAUUAGAUACCCGGGUAGUCCUGGCCGUAAACGAUGCAUACUAGGUGAUGGCCCGGCCAUGAGCCGUGUCAGUGCCGUAGGGAAACCGUUAAGUGUGCCGCCUGGGAAGUACGG
rnacentral:rRNA from 1 species